UUUGGGGGUGGGUUUGGGCUGGGGUUACCCUGUGUUUACUUAGUGAAUAUGCACAUGCUUGCCCAGUUUCCUCUGAAGUAUUAAAUAAUGUCAGCUGUCUGACAGUGUAUUGGAUCCCUAAUUAGUCUGAUGGGCUGCCUCGAUCCAGGCAGGCGUAAGAGCUUGUCUGCAAUCUAAGCAUUAAGCAAUUUCCUUUUUGUAACGUUAGCUGGAAAUGAAUUACCUGGAAAUCAACACCACGUUUGUGUUUUGUGAGUGUGAAUCACAGAAUGGCCUGGGUUGCAAAGGCCCACAGUGCUCAUCCAGUUCCAACCCCCUGCUAUGUACAGGGUCACCAACCAGCAGCCCAGGCUGCCCAGAGCCACAUCCAGCCUGGCCUUGAAUGCCUGCAGGGAUGGGGCAUCCACAGCCUCCUUGGGUAAAGAGUGAGUGGAGUGUGCAUUAAAGAAGGCAUCAUUACUUUGCUGGAUUAAUGCGAAAUGUGAAAAGUAGAAUUUUGGUUUUAAAUACAAAUCAGUUGUUUGGUUUAUUUUACCCCGUAGCAGUUUUCUGGCCCCUGAGUGUAACCGUGUGCCUUAUGUGGGCUCAGACUAAAUUGGUGUAGUGGUAUAAAUCCAGAGCGUCACAAAUAGUUGUUGAGCAUUAAUGAAUGUGAUGGACCACAAAGUACUUUUUUUCUUUCUUGGAAGCCUGACAUCUGUUCUGUAAGCAAUAAACAAGAGCAAGCAUCUUAUGGUGAACAUCGUAUUCACGCUGGCUGUAUUUAUUUCGUUACGUUUGGCAGGUUUGUUUAUGAGAUUGGAAAUAACUAACUGUGAUCUUGAGCGUCCGUCUGCAUGCAGAGGGUUUUCACAGCAGAUAUUCAGCUUUGGUAAACGGAUUUGCGGAUUUGCAUGGGGUAAAAAUGGAGGCAGAAAUAAACUUCUGAAACUGAGCCUCAGCCCAGAAAUGAUGGCUUCCCAGCUGUAUCCAUAUGCUUUCAAUAUCUCUGCAGCAGAGAAUAGGAGCCUGUGUAUAAAUGGAACACCAUGGAUUUGGCAUCUUCUAGAAGAAUGUGUCGAGAAUGCGUGGGAGUACUGCAGCGUUGUCAUAGGGCUGAUUUCCAUUGUCUGUUUUCUGUUUGCUGCACUACCUCAAAUUCACGUUGCCUGUCGGGAUGGGAAGGUGGACCAGGCUCUGUCUUUGGGCUUCCUGCUGUGCUGGAUAGCUGGAGAUCUCACAAACCUUAUAGGCUGCUAUUUAACAAAUCAACUGCCAAUUCAGACUGUCACUGCCAUCUCCUACGUUAACAUGGAUAUCGUUUUGAUUUCACAAUUUGUCUACUACAAGCUCAAGAAUCAGAAGAUGAAAGGCAGCAGAAGGCUGAAGAAUUUCUGUAUAACCUGGAUCUUGAUGUGCAUAACCCUGUGCAUUGUUUUACCCUGCCAGCUGUUAAUCAGAAAGCAAGACCAGAGUUCAGCAAUGGGAAAGAGCAAUAACUCUCUCAAUAUGACUGAAAUGUCAGGCUUUGUUUGUGGCUAUAUAUCUUGUGUGUUUUACUUGGGAAGUAGAUUUCCUCAGCUGUAUAAAAAUUUUCAGAGAAAGUCAACAGAAGGCAGCUCUUACCUGCUGUUUGCGUUGGCCAUGCUGGGAAACUGCACGUAUGGCCUCAGCCUUGUCCUUAAGAUGCCUGCUGCUGAAUCUGUCCGGGCCCUUUACAUUUUACACCAUCUUCCGUGGCUCCUCGGGAGCUUUGGAGUUUUGUUCCUGGAUGUUUUUGUGACGGUGCAGUUCCUUCUGUAUGGUCAGCACAAGGAGAGACCACAUGCUGUGGUGGCACUGGAAGUGGAGCCAUUGCUGGUGGGUGAGGAGGAUGCAUAGUGCUGAGCUCAGCCCUUCUCACACCUGGGGACUUCAACAGGUCAGACUGCAGGAGCAGUCUUUAUUCCAAGAGAAUAAAUUCAAGUUAAUGUUUCAAUGAAUGUGUAUGUGAUGAUUCACACAUCAGAAAAUAAGUUUAUGACCAAAAAGACUUUUCUGAAAGCCAGUCUGAGUUGGCACACUGUUAGACUCAUCGUGAAACUCAUUCCCUUUGAAGAACAAGAUGGAGCCUGGCUGUGACGGAUGGGGGUAACAUCAGCCCUGCUGUUGGCAGGUACAUCCCACUGUCACUGCUGCUCCCUGGAGCCUCUGAAGAUGUCAAGCUUCUUUGUCGUUACUUUGCUCAGCCCUUUUAUCCAGACCCAGCCUCCCCAUGUCAGAAGGGGAGGUGAGAGCUGUGCCAGCACUAAGCAGAGACCAAAAGGCAGCUCCUCACUGCCUCUGUUAGGCAGGGAAGUACUGCACUUCCACCACAGAUAUUUGUUGAAAAGCAAAGUGUCUUAAUCUUGCUUUGUACUACUAAUUCUUCCCCCCACGCCGCGUGUAAUCCAGGAUUAAUGGCAUUGUUGCCUAAUUUUAUUUUUGUAGCUAUCAUGGGAAUCUCAUUAACUAAAGGAAACAUCUAACGUGUCUUGAGGGCUUCGUUUUUGAACAGAGCCAUCCAAUAACUUACCUAAUGGAGCUCUGUGGUCAACAGGAGGUUCUUCAAGUGCAGAGUUUCUUGUGGCCAUUACAGGCUGGGCUUCACUUGUUUAAGUAAAAGGAAAUGUACUUAAUAUGCCCCUCUGUCCUGUGAAGGGGGGAGUCUGCAUCUUUUCUAAAUUCACAUUUGUAUUCUGGCUGACAGAUAAAUGUAUUAUUAGUCUUAGGGAAACGAAUUUGGUUCACCUAAUGGAAAGCAUGUAGGUGCAGUUGGAUGCUCCAUGGUCACGUUACCUCCUUACUAACCGGACUCUGAGCUCUGCAGCACACCAAGGAAGCAACAAAAAAUGGUCCCUUGGGGUUUCUAGUGCAAUGCCUCAGCAGCAUCAAUGUUUUCCCUGGUUUCUGAAUGGCAGAGAGAUGGGAAAUUGAUGUUUUGAGCACGGAAGAACCCAGUUCUGUGGUUAAGGAGUUUGGGGCUCCAGGUUCUGGCUGCCCAUGGGCAGCAUGGUGUAUCCAUCCUCUGCUGCUAUACUUUUUAGAGAAACUUUAAUGGUGGUGGGGACAGCUCAUGAAUAUUAAUUGCUGUAGCACCUCAGUGUCCAUCUGUGCCAUUGCUUGCUAAAUGCAGCUGGAAAUACAUGGUGUGCAGGCAGGGCAUUGAUUCAUAUCAUGACGAGGGGGGCUGCCACAACGUGCUCCAAACAGCUUUAAAUGAUAGCUGCAGAGGAAUUAAGACCAGUUUAAUCCAACUAAAUAAUGCUCCUAAUGAUGAACCAUUAAAAUCUAGUUGACUUUCAGAUUCUAGCAAUUGUAUCAGACAAGGUGAUUAUACUAAACAUCAGUAAUGAUAAUCAUUACAAUAGAUUAAAGUAUUGACUGAGCCGUAGGAAGCGCUGCCUGGCGCCGGCACAGGAGCUCCUCUGCCUUCACAGCAUCAUCCUCCCAUCCCAGCUGCAUUAUGUGAUUCUGUUGGGCUUGCUGAUGGACCUCAGAUCUGCUGCUCCUGCCUGGAGCCCAAGCAGCUCUUUGCCCAGAGCACAUCUUACAGGUUAAAAGCACAUCCAGAUGCAUCCAUGGUGGAUGCUUGAUGUAAUGCUGUAAUGCCAGAGCCUUAGGUCAAAGCAUUCCCCUUGUCCAGGGGAGAUAAACAGACAAGAAGGGGUAACAGAGGCUUGCUUGAGGACAAAUUGCUCAGCCUUCCAACAGGUUUCUUUGGGGCAAAUGGCCACGGCCACACUGCACUGCUGCUGGGACCAGGCUGCCCUGCCCUGCAGCAAUGCUGCACUCGGAGCUCUGCUCCACAUUGAUUCCUGCCCUGGCUCAAGCUAUUGUAUAAGCCUGUAAAUAUAGUGAGAAGAUGGGCAUUUUAUGAUGUCUGACUUUCCUACCAUAUUUUUUCGUUAAGUAAGCUGUAAUGGAAAUAUUGGGCUUUCAUUUCUGGCUUGCUUCUUUUCCAACAAUUGUCAGUAAAUCAAAGUUGCAGAGAGCCAUCUCCUCCUCUGCAAUGUCAGGCUAACAGCAGCCUGGUGGUCACUUACUUUUGGAAAUGAUAUCGCCCUAUUUCAAGGCACUCAGCAGACUUUAGUGCUGAUGUAUUGACCCUCGCAGCUUUCAGACGAAGGAAAUAUUCGAGGACAGCAUUUCCAGCAGAGAAAUGCCCAUCUUUCAAAAUGAGGACUGCAAGUUGUAGUUAAGCCAAUUGGCUGAGAUACAAAUGUGCCAAGCUUAGAAAUAAAGCAAAUAUUUCUUC